rnacentral:rRNA from 1 species
UACGGGGGGGGCAAGCGUUGUUCGGAAUUACUGGGCGUAAAGGGCUCGUAGGCGGCCAACUAAGUCGGACGUGAAAUCCCCAGGCUCAACCUGGGAACUGCGUCCGAUACUGGAUGGCUUGAAUUCGGGAGAGGGAUGCAGAAUUCCAGGUGUAGCGGUGAAAUGCGUAGAUAUCUGGAAGAACACCGAAGGCGAAGGCAGCGUUCUGGGAAGCAACUGACGCUCAUGUGCGAAAGCCAGGGGAGCGAACGGG